UACCGCUUCCUACCCAAAAUGUCUUGGAAAAAGUUUUUACUGGGAUGUGCUUUCUGUUCUAAGCAAAUGUUUCAGGUUUUAUCUCCUUUUCACAAAAAAACCCCUGCAAAACUACAGUCUUCAUAGGCAAGAAUUUCUCUGGCUUGCUGUAAGAUGUUUAAGCUUUGGGAUGGUCAAGGAUGGACCAAGUGGAAGGCUGUGAUCGUAACUUGCAUUACUGCUGUAUGUAUUGCAUAUAGUAUGUGUUUGUACGCGUGUUCUCACUGUUUUGCAAAACAGUGAUGGGGAAAUGCAUCACUUUAUAAGAGAAGAAGUGUGCAGUGGAUUUUUGUUGACAUCCCAUUUGAAAGUAAAGCCCCUAACACAAAAGAAGCAAGCUGCCUUUAGACUGCAUUUACUGCUCUUGAUGACUCCAGUUGUGUGUAAAUAUUAGAAAACAGCAGGGUCCUGCAUUCCAAGCAUCACUUGAGCAGUGCCAUGAAGACAAGUGUCCUUACUGGUAUUGUAGUCAUACUCCCAAGCUCUCCUGCUGUUUCUAAUCUGUGUGCACAGCCGUGAAAAAACUGGACUGACAUUUACAGGCACAGCAGGGAGACACUUGAGUAGGGAAUGUUAAAGAUUCUGCUACCUAUGUUUCAAAGUGGCCACCAUACAUGAUAAAUCUUCACAGGAGAACUAGUUGGCACUUCAACUGAUGGUGUAAUGAGGAUAUUGAUAAUGAAGCAGAGAAUGCUUCUUUUAGUGCUUGAACAUUUAGCAGACAGAUUGUUAGUAUUUUUUUUCUCUAAAAUAUCUGGAGAGAGAAUCAAAUUGGGCGUAGGUAUAUUUUUCAGAUGGUACUGGUUUGAUGUUUUUUUUUUUUGAGAAUAUUUCUUAGUAACUUUAAAUCAAAUAAUUCCUCAUAACUAUUGCAUCUGGCAUUAAGGGAGGGGGGUCAGUUGCUUUCCUGAGUAGUUUGACAGACUUUACUCACUGUUUUGUCCCAGUGAGCUGACAGAUUUGGGAUGCUAUAAUACCAGUAAUGCAAUUAGGUUUUCUGCACGUUGUCUGGUUGACUUCUCAGUUAAGAGUUUCUUUCCCUUUGGGAAUAAGACUAGACAGACUGUCAUUUGCUAUUACUAAUUCUGCUUAGCAUUAUCACUGGAGCUUUUUUGUAAUUAGCUAUCUUAGUUGGCUCUUAAAUUUUAAUAGCCAAUUGAAGCUACAUUUUAGCCAAGUUCCAUAUCUAAAUUGCAUUCAGUCCAUUAACAAAGUUGGUUAAAAGGCUAUUAAAACAAAAGCCAAUAUAUGGUGGUUAGCACUUACAUGUUUCUAGCAGUAGCAAUACCAGCCUCCAAUGAAUAUUUUCAAGAAAUGGUACUUCCUUCUAGCAAAGGAAGUGCACAAAGAAUGACCAAACAGCAUUUUGGAAACAAAGGCUGAUUAUGCAGAAUACUUUCAGGAAAAAAAUAAAUUGAAGCGUGUCUUUUCUUGAAGAAAGUGGGAAAGGCUGGUGGGUGAUGCAGAAGGGGGCAAUUAAUAGCUCUGCUCAGAUUUGACAGGUUCUGGAAAAGCCAAAUAAAGUGAUGUUUUUCUCCAUUUCAGCUGAUCAAAAUUAUUAGCAAAACCAUCUGAAGCACCUUCUGGUGGAAUUGUCAUCUUGCUGAGUUUAGUUUGUAAAACAUCCUGCCAGACAUUAAAAAAACUGUAAGCAUGCCAGCACAUAGGCUCAGAGCACUGCUUUUCUAAUUGAUAGACCCUAUAAUUUUCUUUUUUUUCUGAAGAUCGUGGCUGGAUACCUCAGCCUCCUGAGUAAUUUAAUGUAACACCAACCUGAAUUUUUUAUUCCUAGUAGCACAUGUUUAAAUUAGAUUUUUCUCCUCUUUUUUUUUUUUUUUUUUUUUCAUUCUUAAGGUGUAGACAGGAGAUUAACAGCCUUUGGAACAUCCUAUAACAAAUAACAUCUUAGACAUUUCUGUUUCUUAAAAACAUCUAUCUUUACUGUUUUGAGGAUGCUAGACUAGUACUGAUACAGGCUACAGUUUUAAUAGAGAGUCUACCGGUUGAUAUUUGCUUGAAGGGUGAUUUGCAGUGCCCUGUAUGGGUGAUUAUACGUUAGUACCAGUUGCUUCAUUGUGAGUGGUGUGAGGCAAACUUCAGAUAACGUCUUAAGAACCAGUUUAGGUUACUCUUUUUCUGGCAUGUGCAGUGAGACAUCUAAGUUAGAGUUUCCAUAAUGCACCGGGCGCUGUUAAACAAGACAUAGAGGUGGUACUCAAACAAGAGAGAUCCUGCUGCUUGUAGCUGGACUGGAGGAUCAAACUGGUUUGAAAAGCUCUCUGGCAGUAAGUGCACCUGCUCUUUCACCUAUUGUGCUGUUUGUUGGUGUUUGGUUUUUUGCACCAGUAUAGUCAAAGGGAGAAGGAAUCUGUUCUAUCUGAUUUUCUUGGUACCCUUUCCAAUAGACAAGGAGAAAGCUGGUAUGAUGGAAUUCAAAGGUCUAAUUUCUAGAUUCCUACUCAGAAUCUCUUAGCUUUAUGCAACUGCAUGCUAAUUCACAUUCACUUUGAUGUUCUUCCCUGGUGUUUUCUAGAUUGAGUUGCUGAAGCUGUAAAAGGACGAUUCCUUGAAUUCUUUGCUUAAUUUUGGCCUUCUUUAUCUCUGUGGAUGACAUCUCUAUAUCAAUGUUUCGUUCGUUUGUUUUUUUCUUUUCUCCUGAAGAAAUACAUAGAAAAAGGAAUGUAUUUUUUUCUGUGAAUGGAAUUUUCCUGCAAUGCAGAGCAUGCCAGACAUAAAAAAGUACAGCAGCUCUGACUGGAUAGUGCAGACCAGUUUUCUCUACACUGACAUGCCACACUUUUAAACAUGAACUCACCAACAGUAUCACAUUUGUACUUCUUAUUUCUCUGUGUUUUCUCUCAUGCCAACCUAAACCUGAUUCUUUUUGAAUUGGAGUCUAUCUUGCCCAUGUCGGCUUCCACACUAGAUUUUAAACAUUUUUUAAUUCAUUUUUUGCACCUAGGUCUACUGCUCAAAUACUUCAAGUAUUUUGAAAUGAACCUCAAGUUCCACAACUGCCCAAGCUGCUGACAAGUGAAUCCAGACAGCUUUUUCUCCACCACUGCGAAUACUUCAAUAAGUCUACAUUGAGGGUUUGCAUUUCCUCAUAGAUACUAUUAAGAGGUGAAAGAGUUGUGGAGGAAUUGUCAAUUGAUAGGACUAAAAAUGCCUCCCACAUUUCUACACCCUGUCUUGGAAGGUCAGCUUUCCAGUUCUUCAGACGCUAGCGGCGGUGGUAGGUUUCAUGUAAGUAAUGGUUGAAAGAAAACUGAUGAGAACACAAGGAGACAGCUGUGACGUAUGGUAGAAGUGAAAGGAAAAUACACAUUUUUAUGAAUGUGAACUUUCCUCAACUAAUUCUUUUUGCCAGAGCUCUCCAGACAGGAAGAAGCCAGCACAGUGGUAAUCUGCAUCUGCAGCUUUGGAGAGAAGAAAAAUGCUUCCUUGGCAAAUGGAACAAAAACCCUAGAAAAUUAAGGAUUAAUAUGUUCAUUUAUACAGAAGCAGUAUGAACAGACUAACAUGAAAUACAACCAACGAGGAUUCAUUUAGAAGACAAAAGAACCCUGGAAGGGAAGGUACUUAGCUUUGUUCAGAAUGCAAACUAUAACAUGCAGUUCUGGGAAUUGCUGAAUUGCACAGCAGAAUGUUAAAAGAAAUUACUUGAUACCACAAGAAGUGCACAAUCUGUGCCUUGAGAUCCUGAAGGUGCUUUCCUUUUCCUUUCUGCCAGGAGAAGAGUGGAACACUGGAUCUACAUGAAAGGUCAAAAGGAUCUGCUCUGAGUCAUCCUUCUCCAAGGAAAGCAUCUAUCUUUGCCUACUCUUCCCUUCUGUUCUUUAUGAAAGUCCUUCAAUUUUCAGUCUUUUGAAACCUUGGUUUCCCACAGCAAGAAGUCUCAGAGGCCUUUGCUGGUGCAUUUCCAAAGCAGAUGCCUGGUGAACAAGAAAUUGCAGCAGGGGAUAUCUCUUUGCUUCUCUUGGCUACUGAAAAAGAAAGAGCUGCAUCAGAAGAGAUGUCCUGAAAUAUGAUAGAAGAUAGUGGAGAGAGGUUGAAGGGUGAAUGAAAGCUUUUGUUUCAAAAGGUUGGAAUAUUGCUGAAGAUCUAAUUUCCAUAUUACUUCAGAAGAUGAACAGGACUGAAAAGUAAGUGAGCUGUGUUUCCAAGUAAGUCAUGUAUAUGUUUUUCGAUGUUGAUGUAAGUAUGAUACUUUGCCACAUCAUUGAUUCUAUGUGAAAAAUGUCAAUUUCAGGUGAUUUUGAUGGCAGCUGUAAAUAAAAAAGGACAAACUGAGUGAGCUGUGGAGUAUUU
rnacentral:lncRNA from 1 species